GACGAACGCUGGCGGCGUGCCUAAUACAUGCAAGUAGAACGCACAGUUUAUACCGUAGCUUGCUACACCAUAGACUGUGAGUUGCGAACGGGUGAGUAACGCGUAGGUAACCUGCCUGGUAGCGGGGGAUAACUAUUGGAAACGAUAGUUAAUACCGCAUAAUAUUGAUUAUUGCAUGAUAAUUGAUUGAAAGAUGCUAUUGCAUCACUACCAGAUGGACCUGCGUUGUAUUAGCUAGUAGGUGAGGUAACGGCUCACCUAGGCGACGAUACAUAGCCGACCUGAGAGGGUGAUCGGCCACACUGGGACUGAGACACGGCCCAGACUCCUACGGGAGGCAGCAGUAGGGAAUCUUCGGCAAUGGACGAAAGUCUGACCGAGCAACGCCGCGUGAGUGAAGAAGGUUUUCGGAUCGUAAAGCUCUGUUGUAAGAGAAGAACGGGUGUGAGAGUGGAAAGUUCACACUGUGACGGUAUCUUACCAGAAAGGGACGGCUAACUACGUG
rnacentral:rRNA from 1 species